UACGUAGGGUGCAAGCGUUGUCCGGAAUUAUUGGGCGUAAAGAGCUCGUAGGUGGUUUGUUACGUCUGCUAUGAAAACCUAGGGCUUAACCCUGGGCCUGCAGUGGAUACGGGCAGACUAGAGGUAGGUAGGGGAGAAUGGAAUUCCCGGUGUAGCGGUGAAAUGCGCAGAUAUCGGGAGGAACACCGGUGGCGAAGGCGGUUCUCUGGGCCUUACCUGACACUGAGGAGCGAAAGCGUGGGGAGCAAACAGG
rnacentral:rRNA from 1 species